UUAAAUUGAAGAGUUUGAUCAUGGCUCAGAUUGAACGCUGGCGGCAGGCCUAACACAUGCAAGUCGAGCGGAAACGAGUUAACUGAACCUUCGGGGAACG
rnacentral:rRNA from 1 species